rnacentral:lncRNA from 1 species
CAACAACCUGCCUGCAGCAGGGAGCAUCCUCUCCCCCAGGGCCGUCAGUAAAGAAAGCUGUCCUGGCACCUUGGUUCUAGCCUGCUCCUAGUACAGUGCCUGACUAUGAUUAAGCACUUGGCCACUCAGAAUGGAUGCCAGCUGUUUGCCGUCCUGGUGCAUGUGAAUGACUAUCAGCCCUGUUACAUACCCAAGCACCUUCACACACGUUUAUUUUCUUCAAGUAUUUAGACACCAAAAGUUCUAAAAGAGCAGAACACAUGUCUGUUGAAUGAACAAAUCUGCAAAAUCAAGAGAAGAGGUAAAUAUUAAAGGCCUGAGUUUCUCAGCCAGGGCGUCCCUUCCUUUCUCCUUGAAGGUAAACUUGCAAACCAUGGAAUAUUUCGUCUUGAAGAAUCAGGACCAAGCUCUCAAAAUUCUCUAGCGAGUCUUCUGACAGGUCCUAGAGAUGACCUCUUUAUCAUAGUCAAGAUGAUUUGGUUGUUCAUCCUUUCAUGGUGUCCUUGGCAUCUUUCAGAAAUGGAACCCACACUGAUGGACUCAAUAUAUGAAAAUUCCACUAUCUGGCAAAUAGCCGUGCUUUCUUCAUUUUGUAGACAGGGAUGGGGUGUAGAUUAGAUUAUUCCUCAGCAAAAAGUCACUUCCUCCCUCACUCCCAAUUUCCUGGGAGGAAUAUAUUUUCCUACCCCUUUGACGCUGAGCUUGGCCCUAUAAUAUGCUUUGGUGUCCGCUGCCCCGUCUCUUCACUUGGGCUUGGCCGUCCACGUGAUUUGCUUUGGCCAGUGUGACGUUAGCUGAAGAUAUAAGACUUGAAACAAGGUUGCAUUUCAUCACAGGAAGAACGUGCCUUGGGUAACCUCUUGUUUAAGGAUGACAGGACACAUAGACCAGAUCUUCAUCCAACCUACAGCUUCAUGAUGGUUAAUUUUCUGUACCUUGACUGGGCUAAGGGAUCCCCAAAUAGCUAGUAAAACAUUAUUUCAGAUGUCUCUGUAAGGAUGCUUCAGGGAGAGAUUAGCAUUUGAAUCAGUAAACUGAAUCAAGAACAUCUGCCCUCACCAAUGUGGGUGAGCAUCCUCCAAUCCCUUGAAGACCCAAAUAGAACAAAAAGGGGGAGGAAGGGCAAAUUCGCUCUCGCUCUUCUUGAACUGGGAUGUCCAUCUUCUCCUGCCAUUGGUCAUCAGAGCUUCUGGUUCUCGGGCCUUAGGACUCAGACUGAAUUAUACCAAUGGGUUUUCUGGGUCUCCAGCUUGCAGACAGCAUAUCAUGGGACUUCUCAGCUUCCAUAGUCACACGAACCAAUUCCCAU